GACGAACGCUGGCGGCGUGCUUAACACAUGCAAGUCGAACGGAAAGGCCUGCUUUCCCUUGUGGAUUGCGGGUACUCGAGUGGCGAACGGGUGAGUAACACGUGAGUGAUCUGCCCCCAACUUGGGUAUAAGCCUGGGAAACUGGGUCUAAUUCCCGAUAGGACUGCAGGGUGGUGCCUGUGGUGGAAAACGAUUUUCUAGUGGUUGGGGAUGAGCUCGCGGCCUAUCAGCUUGUUGGUGGGGUAAUGGCCUACCAAGGCGGCGACGGGUAGCCGGCCUGAGGGGGUGGACGGCCACAUUGGGACUGAGAUACGGCCCAGACUCCUACGGGAGGCAGCAGUGGGGAAUAUUGCACAAUGGGCGGAAGCCUGAUGCAGCGACGCCGCGUGGGGGAUGACGGCCUUCGGGUUGUAAACUCCUUUCGACCGCGAGGAAGCCACCUGGUUGGAAGGGUGGUGACGGUAGUGGUAGAAGAAGCACCGGCUAACUACGUGC
rnacentral:rRNA from 1 species